CACGUAGGAGGCGAGCGUUGUCCGGAAUCAUUGGGCGUAAAGAGCGUGUAGGCGGCCCGAUAAGUCCGCUGUGAAAGCCCCGGGCUCAACCUGGGAAUUGCAUUCGAGACUGAAUAGCUAGGGUACGGUAGAGGGAAGCGGAAUUUCCGGUGUAGCGGUGAAAUGCGCAGAUAUCGGGAGGAACACCGGUGGCGAAGGCGGUUCUCUGGGCCUUACCUGACGCUGAGGAGCGAAAGCGUGGGGAGCGAACAGG
rnacentral:rRNA from 1 species